rnacentral:misc_RNA from 1 species
GAAAUGCGAUAAGUAAUGUGAAUUGCAGAAUUCAGUGAAUCAUCGAAUCUUUGAACGCACAUUGCGCCCCUUGGUAUUCCGGGGGGCAUGCCUGUUCGAGCGUCAUUAUAACCCCUCAAGCUCAGCUUGGUGUUGGGGCCUGCCAUCUGGCAGCCCUUAAAAUCAGUGGCGGUGCCAUCUGGCUCUAAGCGUAGUAAUUUUUCUCGCUACAGAGUUCUGAUGGAUGCUUGCCAUCAACCCCCAAUUUUUUAUGGUUGACCUCGGAUCAGGUAGGGAUACCCGCUGAACUUAA